AACAACAAGGCGUUGGCCAGCACGAGAGCCCCUCGAUGAGGACAGCUCGAACCCGGGGACAAGAUGAGCCCGAGGGCCGACCCGGCAAACAAAAGCAAGAAAAGGCUCGCCGAACCGUAGACAUGUAGCUCCCACGCAAAAGAGACAACAGAUGUGCCAUGACAGACGGCUAAUUUCUGGAGAUCUAUAUUUUUGGACCUCCAAGGAUGUCAAAGAGUCAUUUUGCCCAACUUGGAUCACUCAACAAGGAGAGGCUAACGAACCAUUGUUGACUUCCAACUUCUUCUUCUGGCCAAGCUAUUGGGUUGACCUCUUGGUUUCCGUCAAAGUGUUUGACUUCCUUCCUUGCAACUUUCAGGGGUGUGAUGUGGACACACUCCACAAUGCACAGCUGGGUGUGCUUAAUGUACCUCCAGCUUCCCCAAACCGCACGCACCGUUGGCGUGGAUUGAAUAAACAUAUGGAAGUCAUGCAAAA